CAACUUCAGAGAGAUCCCACCAAGCGGUUGUAUGGGGGCCGGCCUAUCCCGAUCUAAUCAACCGGUAACUCGGCGCCCUCCAAAUUACCACCGCAAUGAACUAGGGAUUCAUUCAUCAACGUUUAGGCUCCUACCUUUGAUGGUUGCCUUGAUCCUUUCACUCGAUUGGAUUCGUGAACUGACCACUUCUCUACGAGUGUACAAAUUUGUCCACUGAUAGAAAAAUCCGGUUUGCUAAAACGAGCUAUCGGCAGAGCCAAACUUUUUUGGCAAGUCUGAGCAACGACGAUUAGCCUCCCGUAACUGAUUAGGUUGAGAUGAAAAGAAAUCUUGAAAGCAAAAUAUCUCCCUCAGUCCUAUCAAGGUGUAUAUGCUAGACAAGUGGAACAAUCUUUCAUCGGUCCUAACCAGCUACCGAAUAUGUUGCGCAUUUGAGGAAUAUCUUAAGCGUGCAACAUCAUGGAAGCCGAAAGAAUAACCCUAAGUCCGUUUUCGCAUGGCCUAGACGACCUUAGAAUAACUUGUUCUAUGAGAAGUUGACACUCUUGACCAAGCCGGACACCUGGUUCAAAAUUUUUUGAGGAAAUGGUCAGCAAACCUAUUUCGGCGUCGUUUGAGAGUCGAACACACUUCGGCCCUCCGCUACCUUACCACCUCUAGACCAAUACCCACUAAUUGCAGCUCUCCCAGACGGUAAAGAAAAAAGGGUAUUUUGUCUGAAUCUCCAGGGAUGAAAUUACACGUUCCAAUGCUAAAAUGCCGAGGUUUUUGGUCACAAGCCGCCAAUUGUGGCAACCGAACCUCUUUGUCAACUCACAAGAUCAAAAACCAUGAAGGGAUAAUAUUGAAUACAACUUUAAUGAGCCCGAGUCUGGAAAUCUUCCCGAGUUCUGCCAAGGCAUUGUAGGGAGGAGAUAUCACCCUUAGGCAUUGUAAGCGUGCUUUGACACAGGCUAAGAAGACAGAUUGGAGGCGUAAUGUGAUCUUCACACAUACAUCCAAAUGCGGAGAAAAAAAGAUUGUCAGUCAUUAUAGCUAACAGGAGUUGUAUAAUCCGUCGCGUCAUUCACUAUCUCCCGCCUUGGGUUAAAUCCAGUUCCUCAUCCUAGUCCUUACCAUGUCUCUUUGAUUGACACAUCGUCAAUUUCUAUAAAACAAGAUGUCUUGUCCCAAUCCAGAAUCCUUUCCUAUAGUGCAAAAUUUGGUGCGAUGUGGGUCCUAUGGAUGUUGGACCAUAAUUUUGGGUCGAACCUGUCGCUUUGACUUGGUUGUCAUUAUUUAGGAACGCUCAAAUUCUUAUUCUUUCUUUUUUGAAACAAGCGAAUCAAGCUAAACUCCGUUCACCAAGGGGGGGCCUGCAGCGAACAAAUAAGGCAAAAUCCACCAAUACGAGGCUUUGAACUUAUCAGUCCUAAAGAGUUUCGAAAGAGAGAUCAACGAUCAAUCCAUUUUUUUGUCAUAAGUUGGCACAUUAGACUUCCACAGAUAAGUCAGGAUACGCCUCCUAAAGAAGUAACCUCUGUCCGGCACGAAUUCCAUGAGGUUUUUCCGUGGAUAUCCCUGAUACAAUUUAUAGUCGAGGAGCCGUGGACAUCCAACACGCCAGUGAUCUUGUUCCAGGGAGCUACUCUCCCCAAUUUUACGUCUUAUAGAAUGAACCCGUUGAAAUAUGAUAACUGCAGCGCCAGAUUGGUGAUUCUCUUGCGCAAAGGGUUCGUUAGGAGAGAGUAUGAGCCAGUGUGUUGUGCUCGCACUCCUAACCCCUAAGAAGAUGGUUCUUGGAGGAUGUGCGUGGACAGUCGUGACCAUCAAUAAAUCACUCUCAAGCUACCAUUUUCCUAUCCUAGAUUGAUGAUUAUGUUUGAUAUGAUGUUUGGAGCCACGAUUUUUCCAAAAAUCGAAUUCUAAAGAGUGGUUACCAUCAAAUCAGAUCCCCCUGGGGAUAUGAACGGAAAACUGUCCUUCAGAAAGGAUGGAUUUGUACGAGUGGUUAGUCAUGCCAUUCGGUCUUUCUAAGCUCAGCACCUUCAUGCGAGUGUGAGUGUUGACUCAGGUACUCGACCUUUAAUGGGCAAAUUUUUAGUAGUGUACUUCGUGACAUCCUCAUUUAUAGUCUAUAGUAAAUCUAAGGAGCAGCAUUUAGGCAAUCUUGCUCAGUUUGUGCUACACUUCAAAGGAAAAUUUUACGCAAAUAUAAAAAACGAUUCAUUUUCACCGUAGUGUUGUCUUCUUAGGAUUCGUUAUUUCUCCCGGGCGUAUCUGCUGACCCUUCUCAAAUUCAGGCAAUCUCGAUUGGCCCAGCCCAGCCUAUUCAUGACUUCGUAGCUUUAUGGGCUCGCUGAACUUUUUUAUCGUCUAUUCAUUCAAGGGUUUAUCACCAUCAUGUCUCCCAUUACUGAUUGGUCUAAAGAAAGGUGAAAUUUCAAGGACAAACGCAGCGACCAAAUCAUUUGGGGAGAUUACAAAGAAAUGACUGAAGCACCUAUGUAUGCGCCUCUCC
rnacentral:lncRNA from 1 species